CUCUGCCUGCCUCUCUGCCUGCUUGUGAUCUUUGUUUGUCAAAUAAAUAAAUAUUAAAAAACAAAACAAAAACUCAGGGACGGUAACAAAGCGGUACUUUGUGAUGACACCUGAAGAAAGGGAAGGAGAUGAAGUUCACUGGACGUGACUGGAAGUGGGAAGACAAUAGUGUAUUAAUAUGAAACUUGGUAAUUAUAAGAGAAAAAUAAGGAUCCUGUUUUUCCAACACAAAUGCUAUUUUAAGCCAAACUCUAGCUCAUAAAUGCAGAAACCAAAGGGUUAGAAAACCCUCAUCUUGUGAGCCGAAACAGAAUGUGUGUUUCAGAGAGCGGCUGCCAGAGCACGGUGAACCCGGGUAUAAUACUGAUGGCAGCUUCACAAGGAGGGGCCAGCCUGUCGCCUCCAAACCUGCUGAUGAACUUAGUGUCGCUCAAAGCGAGACCAGGUGCAAGCCCCCCGUGGAACGGUGCCGUGUUGCUGAGAUCACACCGUCCGUACAGUCUUGCAGUCAAAAGAUCACCCGUGUCCAGAGCUGUGUGGUUACUGUCCAGUCUCACGGGAAGAGGGGCCCUGGACAUCGAGGUAAAUGUCGCCAGUGGGCUGCGGCGCUCUGUAUGGGGUGGCGACCCAGUCUCGAAGCAGAGUCACUGUCAUGGAGAAACCUGAUGUAGAUUCAGAGACGAAGAGAAAUGACAGCCAAAUACAGUGAGUCGACUUUUGGACAAAACCAGGAAAAAGUAUUUAUUUAUUUAUUUUUUUUUUAGAGAGAGAACAUUCAAGCAGGGAAGGCAGGGGCAGCGGGAGAGAAUCCCCAGCCGGCUCCCUGCUGCUGAGCGCGGAGCCCAAUGUGGGGCUCGAUCUUGUGACCCUGAGAUCAUGACCUGAGCUGAGAUCAAGAUUUAAUUUUUAAAAAUUGAGAUUAUCUAUUUAUUUAUUUGGGAGAGAGAGCACAAGCAGGGUGAGAAGCAGACUCCCCGCUGAGCAGGGAGCCAGGUGGGGACUCGAUCCCAGGACCCUGGGAUCACGGCCUGAGCCGAAGGCAGGCGUCCAACCGACUGAGCCCCUCAGGCGCCCCGAAAUUUUUUAAAAAUAAACUGCAGGGCAGGAAAAAAUGUUACGGUUGGGACCUGCCUUCCGAUUUGAGGAGCUCCUGGUGGUCCUGUCGGUGUGACCAGCAUCAGCUGACGGGCUGACCUCGAUGGUGACAUUAGUUUCCACAGGUGGAAAGGUGUCGUUGCGCUUUCUUUUGGGGGGGUGAGUAGUGCUGAUGGCGGUUCUUCCCUCCUGCCUCCCUCCAGCACAUCUCCUGGAAACGAGAGUUUCCCGAAUCUACGUGACACCACGGAACAGUAGUUUUGACCUUGGCUGCACGUGAAAAUCGUCUGGGGAGCUUUUGAAAAACACCAGUGCUUCAAGGCCAGCCCCAGAGCUCUGCUCUGUCCAUCUGGGCCGGGCCAGGCUCCGUAGUUUAAAGAGGAGUGAAGAGGUAACUUUCCCCCUGAGUCUCCUUUGCAGGCAGCAGCGAGAGCCACGGCCUCAGAGCCAGGCCUGCCCAGCACUUUCCGUGACGGCUCCGAGGCGAGCAUUUCGCGCGUGGCCGGCCGCAGGGCUCUUGCAGACCCGCGGGCCUGAGCCCGUUCCGCGGCCGCAGUGAGGAGACGACGGCCUGUGACUGCGCCUGUGAGACUGUGUCGCGGAAAGCUGCUGGGCUGGGCUUGGCCCAAGGCUGUGGUUUCCUGACGCCGGCUACAGAAGAAAUAAAAACGCUGGUUUCCUGUUUUAUUUAAUAAUGGCGCAGCCUCACGAGAGGCGCUGUGGUCUUGGAACGCAGAGCACGCAGGAUUUGAAGUUAGAAGCUCUGAAUUCAGAUCCUGCUCUACAUUUGCUGUGGAAUCUGAGGGAGGUCGCUUAACCUCUCUGAUCCGUCUGCUUCUGUGAUGGGAGCCACACAGGCCGGUUCUAAAGCUGGAAUAAGGCACGUGUGCGGGCGUUGUAAGUUGUGGGUGUCGGACCCCUACCGCCUGCUCUCAAACGGCUUAUUGCGCAGCAGCUUAUAAAUUUGUGUGUAACAAACAUUAAAUAUUUAAAAGGAAAGCAAAUUAGAAAAUUUGAAUUUAAAUGUGACAUAAACAUGAAGACUGAGGGAAAUGAGUUCUACAUCAUGCAUUUCUAUUUUAAGCCACCAAAGUGAUUUUAGAUUGGUAAAGGCUGCUUUUAAAAGAAGAUGGCGUAAAUAUAUAUUUUUCCAAAAUGGAAUUUUCUAGGGAAAAUUGGUUUUCAUCAUGACGGGGAAAUCUACAACUGUAACGUGCCGGUCGGAAGGUGGGUGCAGGGCGGAGCCCAGAGGAGGUCCAGGAAAAGCCUCCGGGGAAGUCUUUUCGGGAGGGCGGGAACAGAAGCUGGACUCAGGAGGGAGUGGGCUGAGAGGAAACGGGCCACUAGGCGGAGACAGCCCUUUCUACAAGUUUGGCACAAAAGAGGAAAAAAUAGGGUGUAGCCUCAAAGGGCAUCAGGGCGGUGUAGACAUUAUGUCAAAGCAGGGAGGGCGGUGCGUGCAGAGUGGGAAGUGGUGGGACCGGGGACCUGGGACGUGUGCAGCCUAGGGGCAGCCGGGCAGAGUCCAGCGGGCAGGCGGCCAACGCCCUGGGCAGUUGAGGCAGGAGGGGUGCAGUAGGCAUGUGGGGAGCGCAGCUUGGCCAGAGGCGGCGUCUGCUUCCCUCCCUCCCCUCCCGUCACCCCUUCCCGCCAGAGCACGGGAGACCGGCGCUGGGUCGCCAUUGAGCCGAGCCACCAGCUCCUGGGAGCCAGGCCUGUGUGCAGGUUGGGCCCGGCUGUUCAGGGACACUCCGCGGGCAGCCUGUGCGUGUGCUGGGGCGGCCAAGGGGAGGCAACCAAGGUGGGGGGCCACAGCGAGGGCGUUAAAACCCGCCUCCUGCCCACCGGAGCUGAAAGGGACUCAGCCCACAUUCCUCCUGCAUUCCAAGCUGCCUCCCCCUGGGAGCCUGUCCUGACUGCCUCCUCUCCCUCCACAUCUGGUGCUUACACACCAGCGGCCGAGGACCCGAGGGCUCAGCAACCGGCCGUGAGUCCUUGUGCAGACGCUGCCAUGUGGGAGGCGGCGGGAGCUCCUGAGGCACUUGGGCCCCUUGGGGUCCACAGCCUCUAGAGCUGCGGCCAGAGCCGUGGCCGCCCGUGCCUUCUUUCCUCGGGAUGCACCUCCUCACCUCCCUCUUUGUCGGUUUGCCGAUGCCCCGAUGGCCCCUCGGCCCGCCCUCAGCUGCCCCCACCGCAGCUUGGCAGGGGACCUCGAGGAGCCUUCCUCGGAGCCUUCCUCAGCAGCUCGCGCCAUCUGGUCCGCACAACCUGGCCUCAGGGGUCCGGAGACCUGGGUUUGUUUUGGGGGAAGUCCUCGCCCCGUGUUCUUCCAGGACCUCCCCCUGCCUUGGUGGCCCCAGAAAACGACCCAUUCGCUCUUCCCCUUUCCCGUUUUCAGAGCAGUAAAGGUGCUUUGACCUUUCGGGGAGCGCGGUGUGAAGGAAGCCAGAGCUGCGGCCGCAGGGAAUAGGCAGCCGGUCAGGGCUUGUCUGCUGCUGCCCCGACGCCCGGCGGCCCGGGGUCUGGAUGUCCCUGUGGCUGGCUCGAGGCCCUGGAGUGGCCCCUCUGCCGCCGCCCCCCCCGGCCCCCCUGAGGCGCGAACCCUGGGCCGGGGCCAGGCUGGUGCCGCCCACCCCUGCCUGCUUCUCCUUCCUUCGCAGCUUCGAGUUCGGAGGUCCGGGCUCCCUCAGGAAGUGGCGCUCACUGUUCCGCUCCUUCAUGGACGGGAAGCCCUUCCCCGGACGGAAGCCGAAGGAAAGUCCCCCCAAGAGGCUGACCUGGCCAGGAGGCCCUCUCUGUGCUAUGGCCGGGGGACUCCGCGUUCGCUCCUGUCCUCUGUUGUCUGGGCCCGCAUGGAGAAGGCAGGGCCUCGGCGGAAUGAGGGAACCUGGGCGACCUUUCACAGGAGCCAGGUCAGGUACCGAAAACUCAGGAUUUUUCCCUAAACGGAAGCCUGUCUUUUCGGCAAGGACCAGAGGUGCCAUCGGGCAGUUGGUCGUGGGCGAUGGCAAUGAAGGGCCUUGCUGUUCCGUGUAGCAAGCACUGACUGUCUGUAGUCGGCGCGGCCUCGUUCUGGCUGCUGGUGUGAGGCCCAGCCGGGAGCCCCCCCCCCCCGCCCACCGAGCCCCGGCAGCUCCCCUCAGGUGAGGCGGGCCUGUCUGUAGCAGGUGGAGGUGACCUGACCCCGGAGGACCCCACACGAGAGCUAGGACUGUCAGGGCCCAGCAGGGCUUUGUCUGCGAGGAAGUCACAGGGUGACCUCAACCAACGGGCGGUCUGCGUUGGCAGAGUUGGGGGUGACAAGCUAUGUGCAUCAGACCCCACGAGGCCGGGUGUGGGAUGGAGAUUGUGGAAGCCACAAGCUCAUUCUUUGAAGAGAUGAAGGAAAUUGAAAAAACUUCCGCACGACUAACCGAGAAGAAAAGGACAAAAAAAGGAGAUCCUCACUACAGAUCCAGCAGAUCACUGUAGAUUCACACGCAGUUGUAAGAAACAGUACAGAGGGAAAGAGAAAGAGUUUACCGGUUCCUUCCAGCGGUAACAUCCUGUGCAACAGUAUCAGCCGCAGGACGCCGAGUGGAUACAGUGAAGGUUACCAGGCCGGAGCCGGGGCUGCCCCCUGCUGCCCGUCCAAACACACACCCCCUCCUCUCUCCUGCCCCCUUCCCCACCUCGACCCCAGGCAGCACUAAUCUGCUCUCCGUCUGUCCAAUGCCGUCACGUCAGGAGUGGCAGACGGAUGACUGCACACAGUAUGUGGCCUUUCGGGACGGGCUCUUUUCACUCCGCAUCAUUUUUUUAGAGUCGUCCCAGUUGUUGCAAAAGCAACGAUGACUCCGGCUGAAUGCAGGGUCACAGUCCACGGUGCAGGCGGACCCCAGUUCCCGGCCAUGCCCCCCACUGAAGGGCGUCCAGAUGGUUUCCAGCUUCGGGCUAUUACAAAACAAGCUGCCGUGAACGUUCGCGCGAGUUUGUGUGUUUCUCUGCUGCAAAUGCCCCGAAGUGUAUUUGCUGAUGGUCGUGGCGUGUUUACUUUUUUAAGAAACAGCCAAACUGCUCGGGGUGGCUGCGGCGUUCUCCGUCCCUGCUGUGUCGCCGUCGCUGUUGUCCCUGGGUUUAUUUCGGCCAUUCGGACGGUGUGCGGUGAUACCCUCCUGCGCUCUUCCUCGGCGUUGCCCUGGUGCCGCUGGGGGUUGUUUCUUCUGAUCACUUGCUGAUCGGACUGCGGGCUGUUCUGUUGCUGAGUUUUGAGAGUUUGUUAUAUAUUCUGGAUUUAUAUUUAUUUUAAUAAAUAUAUAUAUUUAUAAACAUACAUAUUUAUAAAUGUGUUUAUAUUUAUAUAUUCUGGAUUCUUUUUUUUCAAGAUUUUUUUAUUUUUAUUUUUUUCACAGACAGAGAUCACAAGUAGGCAGAGAGGCAGGCAGAGAGAGAGGAGGAAGCAGGCUCCCCGCUGAGCAGAGAGCCCGAUGCGGGGCUCGAUCCCAGGACCCUGAGAUCAUGACCUGAGCCGAAGGCAGAGGCUUUAACCCCUGAGCCAACCAAGUGCCCCCAUGUUCUGGAUUCUUUGUUGGAUAGGUGGUUUUCAGAUAUUUCUCUCCCACUCUGUAGCUUAUUUUUCAUCCUCCUAACAGGGUUGGUUGGUUGGUUAGUUUACAGAUGAAAGGUUUUAAUUUUAAUAAAGUCCAAGUCACUUUUUUCCUAUUAUGAAUGGCACUUUCAUUGGCAAAACUAAGAACUUUUUGGUCAGCUCCAGAUCCUAAAGAUUCUGUUAUUUUUCUCUAAAAGCUAUAUCGUUUUAUAUUUUUUUGAGUCCACAAUCCAUUUUGAGUUAAUUUAGGUACAAGCCGUGAAACUUGGGGUCGGUUCCUCCUGCUGCGGCCGUCCUCCCUCCCCCCCCUUUCCGUCUGUCUGUCUGUCCAUCUGUCUGUCCGUGGUCUCUAAAUGCCGCUCCAGCGCUGUUAUUGAUUCUAUUUCCUCCGUGAAGUUUUCCAGCUUCGUCACGAAUCCAGCGGCACAGCUAGGAGGGCGUCUGCCCGUCGCACUGACCUGCGGAGCUGCGCCUUCGGCAAAACCACCGACGUUCAGUUGCUGUGAUUGUUUGAAAAGUGUUGGAAUUGGGGAGACUGAUUCCUCCCACUUUUUUCUUUUCAAAAUUGCCUUGGCUGUUCUAGUUCCUUUGUUUAUGCCUAUAAAUUUUUAGAAUAACCUUGUCCUCUGCCUACAGAAAUGUGGCUGGAAUUUUGAUAGGAAUUGUGGUAAAGCUGCGUGUCAGUUUCCCUUCCUUCCUUUCUAUCUAGGUUUGGUUAUUCUAGGGCUGGGGCGUGAGGGGCAGAGGGUGAAGGAGAGAAGCAGACUCCCCGCCGAGCACAGAGCCCAACGUGGGGCUUGAUCUCAGGACCGUGACUUGAGCAGAAAUCAGGAGUUGGUCCUCAGCCGACUUAGCCCCCGGCGCUGUGUGGCGGCUCCUCUAUGUUGACAAUCACAUCGCUGGUAAAUAGGGCCAGAGUUAGGUUUUCCUUUCUGAUCUGUCUGCCUUCUGCUGUGGACUAACUCGCGGGGCUCUGUGUUGGACGGGAGUGGUGAGCGUGGGCGCCCCGAUCUCUCCUGGGCGCGGCUCGUCCCUCACCACGGAAGAGAGCCUCAGCUGUAGUUUCGGUUGAUGUGCUUUAUCAGGUCGCAGAAAUUCUCUAUUCUUGUUUUUCAGAGGUUUUUUGUUUUGUUUUUUUAAAGUCAUGAAUGGGGGUUUUAUAAGUUUCUUAGGACUGCUAUUAAAAAAUUACCAAGUGGGACGCCUGGGUGGCUCAGCCGAUUGAGCGUCUGCCUCUGGCUCAGGUCAUGAUCCCAGGGUCCUGGGAUCGAGCCCCACAUGAGGCUCCCUGCUAGGUGGGAAGUUGGCUUCUCCUUCUCCCUGUGCCCCUUCCGCUAUGUGUGCUCUUUCUUGUGUGAAUCUCUCUCUUUCAUUCAAAUAAAUAAAUCUUAAAAAAAAAAAAAAACCCACCAACUGGGUGGCUUAAAACAGAAAUUUAUUCUCAUGGUUCUAAGUCCAAAAUUAAGGUGUCAGCAAGUCUACGUUCCCUCUGAAGCCCUGGGGGAGUCAUUCCUUCCCACUCUCUGGCUGCCGGCCACCAGGCCACCUGGGAGCGGUCUCCAGGGCUCCUCGUUUAUGGGGCGUCAUUCUAGUCCCGUCGUCACGUCGUCUUCCCUCUCUGUGUCUGUCCACAUUUCCUCUUUUCGGAAGGGCACAGUCAUACUGGAUCAGGACCUGCCCUAGUGGCUUUGUUUUAACUUGAUCACGUCUGUCAAAACACUCUUUCCAGUGAAGGUCACAUUCCAAGGUGCCUGCGGGUUAGGGCUGCAACGUAUCCUUUGGGGAGGACAUAAUGCAAUCUAUAACGGAUGCUGAAUUUUGUCUAAUGCUUUUUGUGAAUUGGGUGAUACGAUCAUGUGAUUUCUCUUCUUCAGCUGGUUAAUAUGGUGGACUACAGUGAUUGCUUUUUCAAAUAUGGAAACUGCUUUGUAUUCCUGAAAUAAACCCCACUUGGUCAUGGUGUAUAAUUAUUUUUAUAUAUUGCUAAAUUCUCUUGGUUAAUAAUUUUUAAUUCCAAUACUUUGUUAAGGAUUUUUGCUUUUUUUUUCAUGAAGGGUAUUGAUCUAUAGUUUUUUUGGUUUUGUACUGUUUUGGGUUUUAGUAUUAUGGUGGUACUACCUACCUAAAAUGGAUUGGGAAAUGUUUCCUCCCCUGAGAAGAACUGUGUAGAACUGAUAUUAAUUUUUCUUAGAUUGUUUAGUAGAACUCUCUAGUGAAACUGCCCGGGCUUGGAUAUUUCUUUUUUGGAAGGCUUUUAAUUAUGAGUUCAAUUUCUUCAACAGUUAAGGGGCUAUUCCAGUGACCGAUUUCAGAUUGGGUGAGUUGUGAGAGUUGUGAAUCCUUGAGGAAGGGCUACGUCUUGCGAAGCUGUCUAACUUUGCGUCUGACAUUGGUACGUGUAGUUGCGUGUGUAGAGGUCUUUGGUGUCUGUGGGGUCUGCGGGGACAUCGGUCCGGUUCUGUCCCUGCUGUUGGUGAUUUGUGUUUUCUCUUCUUCUUUCAGCCAGUCUAGCCGGGUGUUGUUCAUGUUGUUGACUCUACAAACAGCCAGUUCUUUGUUUCACUGAUUUUUCUUUAUUGUUUUUCCGUUUCCAAUCUCAUUGGUUUCUGCUUUUCUUAGUUACUUGCUUCCUUUGCUCUGUUUUCCUUGGGUUUUGUCUGCUUCUCCUCCUUUGUUUCUUCUUCAGGGUCAGAGCUGAGGGCAUUAAUUUCUAAACCUCCUUAUUUUGUAAUAGAAGCUUUUUUUUUUUUAAGAUUUUAUUUAUUUAUUGGACAGAGAUCACAAGCAGGCAGAGAGGCAGGCAGAGAGAGAGAGAGAGGUAAGCAGGUUCCCCACUGAGCAGAGAGCCCGAUGCGGGGCUCGAUCCCAGGACCCUGAGAUCAUGACCCGAGCCGAAGGCAGCGGCUUUAACCCACUGAGCCACCCAGGCGCCCCUGUAAUAGAGGCUUUUGAUGCUAUGAAUUUCUCUUUAGGUGAUGCUUUACCUGUAUCCCGUAAAUCUUAAUAUUAUUUCUCAUUUUGUGUUGUGUUUUCAUUUUCGUUCAGUUCAAAAUAUUUUCUAGUUUUCCUUGUAAUUUCUUCCUUCUGUGGGUUGUUUUGAAGUGUGUUACUUCGUUUCCAGAUAUUUGGAAAUUGCCACAUAUUUUCUGCUGUUGAUUUCUGGUUUAAUUCUACUGUGGCAAGACAGCAUACUACAUAUGCCUUGGAUUCUUUUAUUGUAACUCAUUUCACGGCCCAGGAUAGAGCUUUCUUGGUUCAUGUUCUGUGGGUGCUUGAAGAGGUUCAAGUUCUGCUGUUGCGUGGAGUGUCCUUGAUUGGAUCACACUGGUUAAUAGCAUCAUUGAGUUCUUCUGUGUCCUUUUCUAAUUUUUUUAAAAAAGUUAUUUAUUGAUUUAUUUGACAACAGAGAUCACAAGUAGGCAGAGAGAGAGAGAGAGAGAGAGGAGAGACAGGCUCCCCGCUGAGCAGAGAGCCCAGUGCGGAGAGCCCAGG